UACGAAGGGGGCUAGCGUUGUUCGGAAUUACUGGGCGUAAAGCGCGCGUAGGCGGUUUUGCAAGCCAGAGGUGAAAUGCCUGAGCUCAACUCAGGAAUGGCCUUUGGGACUGCGAGGCUUUGAGGACUGGAGAGGUGAGUGGAAUUCCCAGUGUAGAGGUGAAAUUCGUAGAUAUUGGGAAGAACACCGGUGGCGAAGGCGGCUCACUGGCCAGUUUCUGACGCUGUAGCGCGAAAGCGUGGGGGAUCAAAACAGG
rnacentral:rRNA from 1 species